rnacentral:rRNA from 1 species
UACGGAAGGCAGCAGUGGGGAAUAUUGCACAAUGGGCGAAAGCCUGAUGCAGCUAUGCCGCGUGUAUGAAGAAGGCCUUAGGGUUGUAAAGUACUUUCAUCGGGGAGGAAAAACAAAACUAAUAAUUUUAUUUCUUGACGUUACCCGAAAAAGAAGCACCGGCCAACUCCGUGCCAGCAGCCGCGGUAAUACGGAGGGUGCUAGCGUUAAUCAGAAUUACUGGGCGUAAAGAGCACGUAGGUGGUUUUUUUAAGUCAGAUGUGAAAUCCCUGGGCUUAACCUAGGAACUGCAUUUUGAAACUGAAAUACUAGAGUAUCGUAGAGGGAGGUAGAAUUCUAGGUGUAGCGGUGAAAUGCGUAGAUAUCUGGAGGAAUACCUGUGGCGAAAGCGGCCUCCUAAACGAAUACUGACACUGAGGUGCGAAAGCGUGGGGAGCAAACAGGGAUUAGAUACC